CUUUCGCCAAGGAUGAUGUAUCAGGGGGGACCCAUUUCACCGUGACGCCAGUUUCCAGAGGACCGCCGGUGGAGCAGGACAGGUUCAGGUUCUCCGUUAGUUUGAAGCAUGGAUCCUGACUGCGCCACUCAGAAACAUAAUGCGACUUGCAGCCAGAAGAAACCAGAGUAAUUACACGUUAUAUUAGAGAAGAUGGAGAGCAAUGCAUCUGCAGAGCAAGUAAUUCUGACCGCCAGUCUCAUUUACUCACUCCCUGGUCCGUCUCUGACGCGAGGUCCAGGUGGAGGAUCCCUCCCACCCUCGCUCUCUGCAGCCGAGCGCCCGGCUUCGGACACGUCCAUGGAGUCCAGGUCGUCUAGUAAACUGCAGACCUUCCAUCAUUCUUCAUGCUUUAAAAUCGACAUGACUCGUCCUUCACCACACAUUUCUGGCCAAGUUCUCUCUUUUCGUUUUUCUCAGCAUUUUGUCUUACUUGAAAAUGGCUUCUUCAGAGUCACCCUCAGUCACUUUGCCUUAGCAAACAAUCAAUGAAUCACUUCCUCAUCAGAUUCUUAAAGUUUUUGCACUUAACUUUUAAGCAAAAUGUUAAGGUUAUGGGUAACACUUUAUUUGACGGGUUGUGGAUAAGACUGUCAUGACACCAUCAUAAACAUGAGUAAGUCUUCAUGAAUA